UACGAAGGAUCCAAGCGUUAUCCGGAUUUAUUGGGUUUAAAGGGUGCGUAGGCGGGCUAUUAAGUCAGUGGUGAAAGCCCCAAGCUUAACUUGGGAAUUGCCAUUGAUACUGAUGGUCUUGAGUACACUUGAAGUGGGCGGAAUGUGUCAUGUAGCGGUGAAAUGCUUAGAUAUGACGCAGAACACCAAUUGCGAAGGCAGCUUGCUACACUGUUAUUGACACUGAGGCACGAAAGCGUGGGGAUCAAACAGG
rnacentral:rRNA from 1 species